rnacentral:rRNA from 1 species
AGGAUGAACGCUAGCGGCAGGCUUAAUACAUGCAAGUCGAGGGGCAGCACGAAUAGCAAUAUUUGGUGGCGACCGGCAAACGGGUGCGGAACACGUACGCAACCUUCCCAAAACAGGUGAAUAGCCCUCCGAAAGGAGGAUUAAUACACCGUAAGAUAACGAGAUGGCAUCAUUUUGUAUUAUAGGCAGCAAUGUCGGUUUUGGAUGGGCGUGCGCCUGAUUAGGUAGUUGGCGGGUAACGCCACCAAGCCUCCGAUCAGUAACUGGUGUGAGAGCACGACCAGUCACGACGGGCACGUGAGACACGGGCCCGACUCCGUACGGGAGCAGCAGUAAGGAUAUUGGUACAAGUGGACGCAAGUCUAGAACCAGCCAUCGCCGCGUGCAGGA